AGGAUGAACGCUGGCGGCGUGCUUAACACAUGCAAGUCGAACGGUGAAGUGAGGAGCUUGCUCCUUGCGGAUCAGUGGCGAACGGGUGAGUAACACGUGAGUAACCUGCCCUUGACUCUGGGAUAAGCACUGGAAACGGUGUCUAAUACCGGAUACGACCUCCGAAGGCAUCUUCUGGAAGUGGAAAGAAUUUCGGUCUGGGAUGGACUCGCGGCCUAUCAGCUUGUUGGUGAGGUAAUAGCCUCACCAAGGCGACGACGGGUA
rnacentral:rRNA from 1 species